CCUACGGGCGGCUGCAGUGGGGAAUAUUGGACAAUGGGGGGAACCCUGAUCCAGCCAUGCCGCGUGUGUGAAGAAGGCCCUCGGGUUGUAAAGCACUUUCAGUGAGGAAGAACGCCUGGUGGUUAAUACCCAUCAGGAAAGACAUCACUCACAGAAGAAGCACCGGCUAACUCCGUGCCAGCAGCCGCGGUAAUACGGAGGGUGCGAGCGUUAUCGGAAUUACUGGGCGUAAAGCGCGCGUAGGUGGCUUGAUAAGCCGGUUGUGAAAGCCCCGGGCUCAACCUGGGAACGGCAUCCGGAACUGUCAAGCUAGAGUGCAGGAGAGGAAGGUAGAAUUCCCGGUGUAGCGGUGAAAUGCGUAGAGAUCGGGAGGAAUACCAGUGGCGAAGGCGGCCUUCUGGACUGACACUGACACUGAGGUGCGAAAGCGUGGGUAGCAAACAGGAUUAGAUACCCCGGUAGUC
rnacentral:rRNA from 1 species